AUUGAACGCUGGCGGCAGGCCUAACACAUGCAAGUCGAACGGUAGCAGGGAGUUUGCUGCUGCAUACAGGGGCGGAGGGGCGAGCAGUGCCGGAAAAUAUCCCUGGCUGGGGGGUAUAGCGUCCGGACACGGGCGAAAAUACCCUAUAACCCCAGAGGGAGAACGGGGGAGAUCAGCGGAUCUUUCGCCCUCGCACGAUUGUAGGAGCCUAUGUCGGAUUAGCUAGUUGGCGGGGUAAAGGCCCACCAAGCCGACGAUCCGUAGCUGGUCUGAGAGGAUGAUCAGUCACACUGGAACUGAGACACGGUCCAGACUCCUACGGGAGGCAGCAGUGGGGAAUAUUGGACAAUGGGCGAAAGCCUGAUCCAGCCAUGCCGCGUGGGUGAAGAAGGUCUUCGGGUUGUAAAGCCCUUUUGGUGGGGAAGAAGAGCAGUAAGUUAAUACCUUGCUGUUUUGACGUUACCCACAGAAUAAGCACCGGCUAACUUCGUG
rnacentral:rRNA from 1 species